rnacentral:sRNA from 1 species
GUACUUCCGCCGGCGCCCAUCGUGAGAAGUUUCCUGUGGCGUGGAUGUUUCCUCUCCGGUCAGUGCCAUCCACCCAAAUCUAUUGACAUCCCGCGUGUUCCGGGCUGUCUGCUCGACCCCCCAGUGCAGGGCGCCAAGGCUGGAGACUGCGCGGCCCUUCUGCAGACCGAUGGAAGCUCCUUGGGUCGACAGAUUACAGCUUCUGCAGCAGCUGGAGCCCAGCUACUCCCUUCAGCCACGUGGUGGGUGCCCACUGUCCCCAGGGAGAGGAUGUCUGGAAAUAAUAGCUUGGAUCUACAGUGGCCAUAAAGUUGGCUCCAACCCACUAGACUGACAAGACUACGGUGCUCCUGAGUGAGGAUUGUGCCCUGGGAUCUGGGGUGCAGUUUCUUCAGUUACAUAUGUGAAGUGCCAGGAGAGACGGCACACUCCAGAGUGCCGUGUCCUGACGCGCCUUUGAGCAGCCAGCACAGCAGAUCAUCAGACCCGUCUCCAGAGAGCUCUGGUUCCUCCUCCAGAACAGACUGGCUGCUCAGGAGGCCAUAGCAGGACUGUCAGUUGAUCUCUGCCACGUGUGCUCAACAGUCGUGUGCUCAACAGUCGUUGACUUUCCAGAAGAGGCUGGAACAGGGCCCUUGAAGAUGAUUGUGGACACCAGAGGGCCAGGAGUGGACAACAAAACCACAAAGUGACACUAGACCCUGCCUCUUCAGCAUCAUGAAACAGCUUUUUACUGUGCUUAGUCAUUGCCUCAAGCAUGGGAGACUCCAGCAUACACCACCUCUUCUGUCCCUGUGACCAUCUGCUAGUGUCUGGAAUGACUAAUGGCUAGAACUUGUUGCCAACUUCCUGUUACUUUCCCAACGGCUGUGCAAUGAACCUCAUAGGUUAAUUCAGUC